UGAUGAGUUUAAGGAUAACAUGAGGCGAAUUGCUCGGCAUCUCAAGAGCCUUUCUGAGAAGACUCGCGUCAUCUUUCUCGGUGUUCCUCCUGUCAAUGAGGAUAUGAUCCGCGAAUUUUUUGGUAAUGACACUGGUCGAACCAAUGAGGGCUGCAGGAUAUAUUCAGAAGCUUGUUUGGAGGUGUGCCGAGAGGAAGAGAUUAGGAUCCCAGGCAUUGAUCUUUGGAAUGCAAUACAACGAAAGGAAAACUGGCUGAAAACUUGCUUCGUGGAUGGAAUCCAUCUUUCAGCAGAGGGGAGCGAAGUAGUGGUGGAGGAGAUCUUGAAUGUGCUUAGAGAGGCAGACUGGGAGCCAUCAGUAUACUGGAAGACAAUGCCAAGUGAAUUUUUGGGAAUUACACCCUUUGAUUCGGAGAACCACGUGCAGAUCAUGUGAUCCCCGCUGAGUUGCAGGAGACGACAAUGCAAAUAGAAUACAAG
rnacentral:misc_RNA from 1 species